ensembl:lincRNA 4930511A02Rik RIKEN cDNA 4930511A02 gene
AGUUUCUCCGGAUGGGCCAGUGACUGAAGUCAGGUCUGGAUAAGUCGCUUCUGUUAGCCAGGGAGACCACUUAGGAGGGUAUUCAAACACAUAGACAUUUUACAAGGCUACUCUGAAGGGCAACCAAGAACAUAUACAAAAUACAAAUUGUACAGCUCUGACUCUAGGCUACAAUGAAAGGACAACCCAUUCGGUAAUGCAUGCUACAGGGAAUGACAGUUACUUCCCUCUGUGCUGUGACCAAUGGGCAAUAAAAUAGGUCUAAUUGGAGGAGAAGAGAAUUGUAAGAAAAGUUUUUACAAUCACAUCAGACUAUGGGCUUGUCAAAGAAAAAUUGCCAAAGACACGGAAACAGUGUUGAUUUGAAGCUGCCAGGGGAAGAUCUUCACUUCACUGAGAGAGGCAGAGCAGAGAAUAUCUCCUGGUGUCCUUGCUAAUUCUGGUCACUCCUGCUGACUUGUGCCAAUUUGGCUGAGGCCUGGCAGUUUCUGCUGGAUCUUGCUGCUGCUGCCGAUUCAAGUUUGGUAUCCUGACACUACUGUACUGAACUGCUGGUAUCCUGACAAAUGGAGAUUGGAAUCACCCCAGUGAAUUACUUUUAAACAGGUCCACACCCCCUUGUCUUAUUUACCAUCUUUUCUCCCUGUCUUUGGAUGGUGAGCUAGAAGGGGUGUGGAAGUGUUUGAGAAAUCUUAUUCAAAACCUAAAAAAGUAGGUUUUGAAAAACCUAAGCCUAAAGUCCACAGAAUUUGAUGUUCACUUGAAUGAAAAGGGGAAGAUAGAUUGAAGCACAAUCAUCUAACUAGAGUUGGGCUCCCCAAACCAUGAUAUUAAUUUUUGAAAAUAGAAGAGGCACAUUUUUAAAUAAACAGACUGAGAGAUGGUCCAGUAAGAUUUAAAAAUAAAAAAAAGUUUUAUCAGGCAACUGUGAAGAACUGAGUUCAAAUCCCAGAAAUUACCUAAAAUCCUAGUAUUUGGAGUUCCAGAAGAGAAGGAGAAGGAGACAGAAGAGUCCCCAGAAACUCCUGCAGCAGCUACCCUGGAGUGGAAAACCAGCAAGGACACUUGAGCCCAGCCUUUGACUUUCAGGGGCAUGAUCACAUUUACACAUAGAAACACAGUCAUAGCACCCAGUAAGCAUGCAAAGAGGAGAAGGAGGUUCACAUCUGCAUGGGUUUGUCAUCUGUAAAGCUGUAUCACAUCCACACAGAGAGGUCAAUGGACAUCAAGCAGAGAUGAGACUGGUGAGAGGUCUGUGCUGGGAAUGCAGAACUAGCAGUUAUCCACAGACAGCUAAAGAACCGAGGACAUGGGGGUUGAUUGGUGAUGGUGGAAGAGGAGUGAGUGUAGAGAGAAGGGGUGAAACUUUAGGAACCAUCUAAAUUUGGAAAACGGAAUUUGGUUGUAUAAAUUAUAGUCAUAUUAGCACAAAUACACCGACUGGGGGUUGGGUGAAAGAAAAAGAUAAAGUAAUGCAUUAAACUGUAGGAAUUCUUGAAUAUAGUACAUGCUCUUAUUCCUGUUAAUAGUCAAAUAAAUAAAAAUAAUUAAAAAAUGAAAACAGAACGCAUUGUGUGAUCAGUUGACUAGACUCAAUUACAGGUACCAGUUUUAGAGUUGUAGAACAUUCAUAUUUGAGUUUUACCAAAAUGACAUAUUAUCUGCUAUGAUAAUCUUCAGGGUCAUUCAUAAAUGGGUACAGCCUAAGAAUAAAUCUAUAAUAGCCACAAUCUCCUAAAUCUUGCUACCUAGGAACAACAUUGAAAUCUUCACGUCUUGUUCUGUUUGAAAGGUAAAUAAUUGGAACUUGAGAGUGAAUCCACUCUGAAAGCAAGUGGAAUCUGAUGGACUAAGGACAAUUUUAAAAUGCUCAAGUUUAUUCAUUCCAUUGUAUGUAGGCGUCAAUUUAAAUGAUUAAAAAUAGACCCUUCUAAUG